CGAGUAGGGCCCAAGCCAGCCAGGAAGGACGAGGCAGCCAGAGUGGCCACCACUGUUCUCUGCAGCAGAAGACCCCCUGCUGCCAGAUCACCCAGCUCCUGGGAAGGAGCCUGCCCAGCCAUUUACUUGGUGGUGCUCACUUGGCCUGUGUCUUGCUGCUUUCCUGCCGGCACCCGGGCACUCACAGUGGCCUGACUCGGAUGGAGGGCUCCGCCUCCACGGCCCGGCUGGUGCCUGCUGUCAAAGUGACUGGACCUGUAGGAAGGCUGGGAUUCGGCCCGGGCCCCAACCAAGGAGAGUGGCCUCCAUCCAUCCCUCCCUGCCCCACCCACCUUCCUGGCCAGAAAGCAGCUGCAGAGGAAGCAAGGAGAGCAAGCCAAGCCAAGCCAGGCAGAAAAGCAGCAUCUUCCCCCAACCUCCACCACCAUCUGAGGAGGAAGCCUGGAAACCAUUCUAGUGUUUCUGGAACCAGCUGUAUGAAGAAGAGCGAGAAGAAUGAGAGCUCUGAGGGGAAAGCAGUUGGGGGCGGGGGGGGGGGGCAGGGUGAGGAAGAGCAGGGAGUUGGCAAAGGAAAAUAAAGAGCAGAGCUUUGCUUCUGGCUAUUAGCAAACAGCCUGUGAGAUCGUUUGCAUCAAAUACACACACACACACACACACAACACACGCACACACUCUCUGUUGGGGAGCCUGUGACUCAAACUGUCAUUUCCUUGCAAGGAAAGAGCACUGUUAAAGCCUCCCUUCAACGUGGGUGGGCGCCUGUGAAGACACACUGUCUCAUCCCAUUCAGGAACUGCCCUCUGUCACUGCACUCAUGGUAGACUGAAUGUUUGUUGUUUGAGUAAAUAAACCAGUCAGUG